UACGGAGGGUGCAAGCGUUGUUCGGAAUUAUUGGGCGUAAAGGGCGCGUAGGCGGAUUAACAAGUUAGGUGUGAAAGCCCCGGGCUCAACCUGGGAACUGCACUUAAGACUGUUAAUCUAGAGUAUGGGAGAGGAUAGCGGAAUUUCCAGUGUAGAGGUGAAAUUCGUAGAUAUUGGAAGGAACACCAGUUGCGAAGGCG
rnacentral:rRNA from 1 species